rnacentral:rRNA from 1 species
CCUACGGGAGGCAGCAGCCAGGAAUCUUGGGCAAUGGGCGAAAGCCUGACCCAGCAACACCGUGUGGGCGAUGAAGGCCUUCGGGUCGUAAAGCCCUGUUGAUAGGGACGAAGGGCGAAGGGUUAAUAGCCCCUAGCCUGACGGUACCUUUCGAGGAAGCCCCGGCUAACUACGUGCCAGCAGCCGCGGUAAUACGUAGGGGGCGAGCGUUGUCCGGAAUUAUUGGGCGUAAAGAGCGUGUAGGCGGUUCGGUAAGUCUGCCGUGAAAACCUGAGGCUCAACCUCGGGCGUGCGGUGGAUACUGCCGGGCUAGAGGACGGUAGAGGCGAGUGGAAUUCCCGGUGUAGCGGUGAAAUGCGCAGAUAUCGGGAGGAACACCAGUAGCGAAGGCGGCUCGCUGGGCCGUUCCUGACGCUGAGACGCGAAAGCUAGGGGAGCGAACAGGAUUAGAUACCCUGGUAGUCCUAGCCGUAAACGAUGGACACUAGGUGUGGGGGGAGUCGAAUCCCUCUGUGCCGCAGUUAACGCGUUAAGUGUCCCGCCUGGGGAGUACGGCCGCAAGGCUAAAACUCAAAGGAAUUGACGG